rnacentral:pre_miRNA from 1 species
ACUUUAUGUACCUAGUGGAGCAUUUCUGCAUAGACAAGAUUAUGGAAACCAGUGUGUGGAAAUGCUUCUGCUAUAUAUUUA